rnacentral:lncRNA from 1 species
UGCGGCCCAAAACUAACCCUAGGUCUAUAACGAACUUAUUCGUUUGAUUAAUUAACAUAUUAAUUAAUCCUAGCCAUAAAUAAAUAAUUAAACCAUUUAAUUAUCCUUACUCAUCUCCGUUGUUUCUUUAAUCUCUACCUUACACGGUGUACGAUCCAUUAGGUUCCUUUUAGUGAGGCAGCGGGCGAUUGUUACUCUUAACGAUCGAUUGUGAAUUGAAACUUACCUUCAAUUCUCCCUUUAGUGAUUACUCGCCUUUAGGGCUACCACAAACCAUGAGUGACACCUAGCAGUAUGUCAUGGCUACCCAAGCUAAUCAGAAGAGGUGGAGAACCUAUUCAGUUUAGGAUUACAAUGCAAUACGGUCUUUCUCUAAUACAAUACUCUUCAUCACAUUGUUUGGUUUGAUAGUUUAUUCAUGUCUGCUAUAAAAUGUGAUUCAUUUACUUAUAUGAUUACUUUGAAUGUGAUUUGGAACGACUUCCUAAAUCUCAUUCGUACUCUGGCCAGAGAUUCUUAAUCAUAUCAUAGAGUAUUCUCCCUCAAACGGUUUGAAGGUUAGAGAUCCCUUGUUGCGCAUUCACUUGCCUCCAUGGUUAAGUGGCUUAACCCCAACUAUGUCAUGGACACCCGCGAAUAGAGUGACUUUGACAUAAUCAAAGAUCAAGGACCUAACCACAAGACAACUAUGAUGCCUCAGGUUAAAGGACUGCUUUGCAUUAUCCAAACCAUGAGUUCUCAUGUGACAUGAGUACGAGAACUCUUCAUUGAUCAUGUUCAGUGAACUUAUUCCUUAUUAAGCACCUACGUACUUGUCUUGGUGUCAGUCACACCAAUGACUCGAGACAAGUCACUCUCACUAAGAGAAGACAUAACACAUACUGAUUUUAACGGACUGUCAAUGCCCAAUUGGCAAUCCUAUGAUCAGGAACGUUUAGGAUAUACGAAAAAGAAUGGUCUCAUGAAUCUAACUUCUUUAAAUUACAUUCUCCUAAUUACAUAUUCCUUGGACUCAUCGUUUAAGCAUAUAACAUUUAUAUGAGACGGCUUAAAACAAUAAUUUAUGCCCUUGAUAUUAAACUAGAUUAGUUUAACAUGUGAAAUGUCUGUAAAGUAUCAUCAUAUGAUUGGUUUUAGGGCAUAUUUCCAACAAAAUCUACACCUCACGGAGAUUGAAUCAGAGUAUUGAAAGAGAUUGUAACCCAAACAAAAAUCAAAAUCACAAAAUAUUUCUUCGUACACGUGUUCUUGUUUCAAGAAAUUUUCGU